rnacentral:rRNA from 1 species
UACGUAGGGGGCUAGCGUUGUCCGGAAUCAUUGGGCGUAAAGCGCGUGUAGGCGGCCCGGUAAGUCCGCUGUGAAAGUCGGGGGCUCAACCCUCGGAUGCCGGUGGAUACUGUCGGGCUUGAGUACGGAAGAGGCGAGUGGAAUUCCUGGUGUAGCGGUGAAAUGCGCAGAUAUCAGGAGGAACACCGAUUGCGAAGGCAGCUCGCUGGGACGUUACUGACGCUGAGACGCGAAAGCGUGGGGAGCGAACAGG